GGGCCCGCACAAGCGGUGGAGCAUGUGGUUUAAUUCGAUGCAACGCGAAGAACCUUACCUGCCCUUGACAUCCUCGGAAGGGACCGGAAACGGACCCGUGCCUUCGGGAACCGAGAGACAGGUGCUGCAUGGCUGUCGUCAGCUCGUGUCGUGAGAUGUUGGGUUAAGUCCCGUAACGAGCGCAACCCCCUAUCCUUAGUUGCCAGCACGUAAUGGUGGGAACUCUAGGGAGACUGCCGUGACAAACCGGAGGAAGGUGGGACGACGUCAAGUCAUCAUGGCCCUUAUGGGCAGGGCUACACACGUGCUACAAUGGCCGGUACAAAGGGCAGCGAAGCCGCAAGGUGGAGCG
rnacentral:rRNA from 1 species